AUAAUAUCGUAGUGGUUAGGUGCUCUUAGCUACGGUUAAGAGUGAAUAGGGAAUCAGGUGUAAAUCCUGAACGGGUCCGCCGCUGUAAUCGGUAUGUUAGACUCAGAAUACCACUUGCAUAUGUUGAGUAUUCAGGGAAGGUAGAGGCUAACAGUAAGCCGAAAGUCAGAAGACCUGCCUAAUCAUUACCUACUGA
rnacentral:ncRNA from 2 species